rnacentral:rRNA from 1 species
UACGUAGGGCGCAAGCGUUGUCCGGAAUUAUUGGGCGUAAAGAGCUCGUAGGCGGUUUGUCGCGUCUGCUGUGAAAACUCAGGGCUUAACCCUGAGCCUGCAGUGGGUACGGGCAGACUAGAGUGUGGUAGGGGAGAUCGGAAUUCCUGGUGUAGCGGUGGAAUGCGCAGAUAUCAGGAGGAACACCGGUGGCGAAGGCGGUUCUCUGGGCCUGCUACUGACGCUGAGGAGCGAAAGCGUGGGGAGCGAACAGGA